GAAGUGCGAUAAGCAAUGCGAAUUGCAGAAUUCCGCGAAUCAUCAGAUCUUUGAACGCAAAUGGCGCCAGAGGGAUAUCCUUCCGGCAUGUCUGUUUCAGUGUCUGAGAGGUUUCACCACAAUCUUAAUGUGAUUGAUGGCUUAGGUGUACUCCUAUAGGAGCACCCCUAAAUCACCAUCUCUCAUGAAAGAUGUUCGAGUGGAUCUUUGGGUCCAAUGAAGUGGUCACAUCACUCGCAUGUGAUUUCAUUGGGACAACCUAAUUAUCCGCAUGCUCGAAGUACUCUCACUAACACUGCUUACGCAGUGUUACACUCCACACCCUGCAUCUGAAACAGGCAAGAUCACCCGCUGAACUUAA
rnacentral:misc_RNA from 1 species